AGGACGAACGCUGGCGGCGUGCCUCAUACAUGCAAGUGGAGCGACGAACCAGGAUUUAUCCUGGGGCAAAGCCGCGAACGGGUGAGUAACACGUGGGUUACCUGCCCCGAUGAUUGGGACAACCCGAGGAAACUCGGGCUAAUACCAAAUGUGUUCUUGGUCGUGAUGACCAAGAAGAAAGGAAGCCUCGGCCUCCGCAUCGGGAUGGGCCCGCGGCCCAUUAGCUAGUUGGUGGGGUAAUGGCCUACCAAGGCGACGAUGGGUAGCUGGUCUGAGAGGACGAUCAGCCACACUGGGACUGAGACACGGCCCAGACUCCUACGGGAGGCAGCAGUAGGGAAUCUUGCGCAAUGCGCGAAAGCGUGACGCAGCAACGCCGCGUGGGGAAGAGGCUCUCGGGUUGUAACCCCUUUCAGCAGGGACGAGCGAAGUGACGGUACCUGCAGAAGAGCGCCGGCUAACGUACGCGCCAGCAGCCGCGGU
rnacentral:rRNA from 1 species